UGGAGUUAGAUGUUAUGUUACCUUCAAAUCUUGCAUAGAAAGGCACUCAUGAAUGCCUACUUGAAAUGCAUAAUUUUGUAUCUCACUAGCUACCAGAUAUAUGGGUGGGGGAAGAGAAAUAUGUUUAGUUUCCAGGAAAAUAUAUAGCAAACUCAUUUGCUAACCAGUUGUUUUAGUUUACACAGAUGAGUCAUACUGAACAGUAAAAAUUAUGUGUAUGAAAUAUAGGCAGGGAGGGGAAGAUGAGUAAAAGAAGGAACAAGGUUAAUGUCUGGAAUAAAGCUCCUAUCUCACUUUAAAUUGGCUGGAGUUUACUUUAAUCAAGAGCAACAUGAGAAGAACAAAUGCUCCUGCCAUUUGGGAUUUACUAGUGAGAAGCAGAGAUAUUGUGUGCAUUAUUUGUCUCUUGUCACUUGAUUCAAACAUGGGCUUUAAUUAAUGGAAAUAAGCUCUCUUCUGUCAGUAAUACCUUUAAUUUUUUCUAAUUUCUAACAAACUGUGUAGUUGAAUGAGCAGAGAACAUAAGUAAAAGAGUCUGAAGAGGGAAACUCCUUAGAAAACUUUCAGACCAGAGCUGCCUUCCAUUUUCUGCUUUAAAUGCAACUUUGAAGUAAAAAAAAAAGAAGAAGAAGAACUAAUCUGACACCCCCAACCCUGAACACUACGUAAUAACUUUUCUCUUAAACUCCACCCUCUCUGAAAGAAACUGUGUUUCUUACUUUAUGCUUGAUACUGUCUUUAUAUUUGAUUUGUACUGCUCUCCUAGCAAGAGAAGGUGAGACAUCCGUUCCCUCUACAAGAAACUCUGAAGAAUCCUGUUGCCGAGAGUCGUUCUUACUGGCGAGACGUUGGACGCGAGACAAGUGGUGCCGAAACCUGGAAACCAACAUCACCAGUGCCGAGGGGACCCUUCAGUGUGCUGAAGAGGAUUCAGAACUGCGAGAAGGUAAAUUAAAAGGUAAGCUUCGAGAGGCAUGCCCCUUUUUGGAUUUAAGAGAGCAUGUCAGAAACGGAGCGGAGUGAGAAAUUAGGAGCGCGCAAAAAGGAAAAGGUUACUAAAACAAAAGUGAAAGAGAUACAAAAGGCGGAAGAAACGCUGCUGGAGGAAAAAAUAGGUGUGCCCCGGAGGACGAAGUAGAAGUCAUCCGGAGAGGAUACUUUGUAUCCAUUUAAAGAAUUAAAAGCCUUAGAACUGGCUGUCAGUGACUCUGAGCAAGAGUUGUCAGAGUCAGAGGAGGAGGAAUUAGAGGAAGAGGCAGCCAUAUAUGAGGAAGAAAGAUAUAGGCCUAGGUGGAGAGCCACUGUGAAGAAACCGAAAGUUAUGGAUCCUUUGUGGGCAAGGCUGGUAAUUUUGUUUCUUUUUUUCUUUGUGUGGGAUAGAGAAGCCACAGACAGCAAGCUUAAGCCCGGACCAAAACCUCUUUGGCGAAUGGUCCCUGCCUACUUAGAGGAUAAACGAUGUGAGGAAGCCGUUAGAGCCGUUAGGACAGGUCAGAGGGUCCUUGCAGAGCAACAAGAAAGUAUGUCAGAGGGAGAAAAGGUCUCGAAAGAAAAAAAGAAAAGGAAAGAAGAUAAAAGGAACAGAGAGAAGGCAGAGAUAAAAAAAAGAGGAUAAUCAGGACCAGGAAACAAAUAAGAUAUAUUCUUCUUUAAAAGCCUUGACCUUAGAAAUGUCAGACAAUCUAGAAAGCAUCACCGACAGCUUAGAGAAAGUGAAACUAAAGGUAGAACCAUCGGGUCCCGGGCCUCCCGCAGAGCAACAAAAGGAAGCACAGGACUCAAUCUCAGUUCCACCACCAGACUCGUAUUGACCUCUCGAAUGGGAACUCAGGUGGUGGAUACAGAUUUUAAAGGCGGCAGUAAGCAGAAUUCAGAAGGAUCGCAGAAAUUGAAAGCAUGUGCAAAGAUAAAGAUUUGGGGUAGUGGUAGUGGUCAAAAGGGGACAAGGUAAUAAUGGUAAAAUGUUUUUGUGUAUGUGUUCUUUUAGAGUUAUGUUAAAAUCUAGAGAAGCAAAGUUGAUUCUCAUAGAUGCUUUUAGUCUUUGGACCCUGACUAGAGACAGUUUACACCCUGGACAAGAGAGAGAAUGGAGUUGAGAAAAACAGUCCUCCCGAACUCUCCACAGAUGCUUUGGCAAAAGAAGGAAAUGAGCUUAAACUUUUUGGACCUCUCCUGGGAACAGAAGGAGGUGGGAGACGUCUUGCCUCCUUGCUGGCUCCUAUUGAAGAAGUGCUUAUUUCUGGUUCUGGGUUCUUUAGGUAAGAUGUCAGGGUCCCUUUGGUGGAACACCAUCUAGUUCUUUUCCUCUGUGUCUAUUGUCUGUCCUUGGUGCACCAAGCUGUCUAUGUAUGUCAAUUUAUGUCUGGGUUUUGCUUCUCGUUGCUUGAAUGUUUUAUGUUUCAUGUUUAAAAGAAAAGGUUAAAAUUUUAAAGGCUGGUUGAUUCACCCAUUGAUGUAGCUUUAACUCCUUUCAAGAAAGGAACAAAUAAAUAAAAAGUUUCAAUUAGCUUUUGGAGCCUGCAUCUGUAGCUAGAAGCCUAAGUCGGCUGGGCAAGCUCCCCAGGGGGCUGGCUAAAUGUUUAUACUAGCUGAUCCUAAAGACACCAGGAGCUUCACAGCUUCUAAGGAAAUGGAACUGAUGGCUGUCUCUCUUAGAAAAAAUCUUUGACUGUGAUUAUUGGACUCAACAGGUGACAAGGUGUUUCUCUUAAAACUACAGCUAGAAAAAGUAAAAAUGGUGAUUGAUUUAAAUAUUAAAGGUAUGUGUAGCCACUUCAAUUUUGUUUCUGAUUGGUUUUAAAUGUAUACAUAUUCUCUACAUGCCUUGGUUAUGGACUAUUGGCUUUUAAGUUAUUGGAUAUGGUUAAAAAAAUGUAACAUCAGUAACAGAAAGUUGACAUAAAACUGGUAAAUUUGGAUGGAGUCAUUCUAGACAACAUGUGGCAUGAGCCAAUCUAGGGAAACAGGUCUAAAUUGGGAUGAUAUUUUUAUGGAAAUCUUACCCUAGAAACCAGGCUUCUAAAAGAUUUUAAGGCAAUGUCUCUUUAUUUAAGUAUUGGAGACCGCACCAUCAUGCGUUCAUAUGUAGGAAUUGGCAGUCAAACCUUGUAGCAUGAAGGAUAGACUCGGUGUUUUGGAGACUGGAUUUUGGGAUAAUGAGGCUGAUCUCAAGGAAGAGGCUGCUCAGUGUGAGAGGGAGAGAUAUGAAGAUUGUGGCACCCUAGAAGUGGCUUAUGCAAAAGUGGUUAAGGUGCUUGAAAAUAAUCAAUUGUUCAUAGCACCUGAAAAGGUUCAAAUGGGCCAAAUGGGGGAAUAUCUAGGAACUAAAAUCACUCCUCAUAGUAUUUCCCCUCAGAAAAUUGAAUUACAAAAAUAUCAUUUAAAAACAUUAAAUGAUUUUCAAAAAUUACUAGGAAGCAUAAAUUGGAUUCGACCCUAUAUUAAAAUGCCCAAUGUAGAUUUACAACCACUUUAUGAGAUCCUGAAAGGGGAUUCUCAGCUUACUUCACCCCGUGCUUUAACCAAGGAAGCACGAUUAUCCUUGAGGAAAGUAGAAGAAAGGUUGGAAAAGGCAAUGCUAAAAAGGUACAAGGAAAAGGAGGAUCUCCUUUUGUGUAUACUGAGAAUCUUUCGUCAACCUACAGGAGUGCUAUGGCAACAGGGAACGCUUCUUUGGAUUUAUCCCCAUAUUUCUCCUAAUAAGACCCUUGAAUAUUACCCUUCUGCUGUUGCACAGCUUGCUGUGUUAGGCGUUAAAUCUUGUAUUCAGCAUUUUGGUAUUUUACCCAAGAAAAUUAUUAUACCAUAUACAACUGCUCGGAUAGAAACAUUGUGUGCCUUGAUAGAUGAUUGGGCGAUAUUACGCAGUAGUUUUGAUGGAGAGUUUGACAAUCAUUAUCCUAAGGAUCCUUUGCUACAAUUUUUUACUGAACAUCCAGUGAUAUUUCCUAAGAUCACUGCCUCAGAGCCUUUGUCUGGAGCAUUAGAUAUUUAUACAGAUGGCUCCAAAACAGGUGUAGGUGCCUAUAUGGUUGAUUCUCAAGAACCAGUAUUAAUUCAAUAUAGUCCAGGCACCCCCCAAAUUACAGAAUGUAAAAUUGUAUUGGAAGUUUUCAAAAGAUUUCAUGAUUCUUUUAAUUUAAUUUCUGACUCUGCUUAUGUAGUUAAUGCUGUGCGCUCACUUGAAAUUGCAGGGCCAAUUCGGUCGACUAGUACUGUAUGUCAAAUUCUUUUAGAAUUACAAAAUUUGAUUUGGGCCAGAAAAAAUAAAUUUUUUAUAUAACAUAUUCGAGUCCAUACUAAUUUGCCUGGUCCCAUGACCAGUAAUAAUGCCCUGGUGGAUGCUAGUACUCGUAGAGAGUUUAUUUUUCAUGUCGCUCUGGUUGAUCUCGCUAGAGAAUUUCAUCAAAAGUUUCAUGUACCUGCCUUUACUCUUCAACAAAAAUUUAAAAUCUCUAGAGCUGUAGCUCGUGAUGUGGUGUUACUUUGCCAGAAUUGUGUUCAAUUUCACCACCCUCCUCAUGUGGGGAUUAACCCUCAUGGUCUGAUCCCGCUAAAACUUUGGCAGAUGGAUGUCACACACAUAUCUCAAUUUGGAAAUUUAAAAUAUGCUCAUGUUUCUGUUGAUACCUGUUCCGGUAUUAUACACACUACUCUGAUGACUGGUGAGAAGGCUCGUAAUGCCAUUAGCCAUUGCUUUGAGGCAUUGGCAGCCUGGGGAAAGCCUGAUAGUCUCAAGACAGACAACGGGCCUGCCUACACUGCUAAAUCCUUUCAGGCAUUUUGCCAGACAAUGCAGGUCAAACAUACUAAAGGAUUGCCAUACAAUCCUCAGGGUCAAGGAAUUGUGGAAAGAGUACAUCAUACCUUAAAAGAGCUUAUACAAAAACAAAAAGGGGGAAUUGCCAGCGGCCGAACACCAAAAGAACAACUUUCUUUAGCUCUUUUUACUCUAAAUUUCUUAAUUCUGGAUGCGCAUGGCUGCUCUGCUGCAGAUAGCCAUGCUACUACUACACCUAUAACUAAUGCAGAAAUAAAGUGGAAGGAUGUCUUAACUAAUGAAUGACGUGGCCCAGAUCCUGUGAUUUCGAGAUCUAGGGGAGCUGUUUGUGUUUUUCCGCAGAAUCAAGAAAAUCCAAUUUGGGUACCUGAGCGUUUGACUCGAAAAUUGCCUUCUGCUCUUCCUGAAGAUGAGACUACGAACCCUACUAUUACUACUGGGAAUAGUAAUACAGCAUUCUCAACAGAACAAAGAAAUCUCGAAUUAUCUGAAAGGAAACUGGUCCAUGAAAGCAGAGCAACUAUCAAGACAAUUGCUGAUGCAGAUUUCUGUCCUCAACAGCACUAGGUUGGACCCCAUCACAGUUGAAGAUUUGACCUCAUGGAUUACCAAUGCUUUCUCCCUUUUUAGGGAGUGGGCGGGCAUGUUUGCCUGGGAAGCUAUUGUCCUCCUGGGAUGCGGAGUAGGUCUCUGGCUUAUUGGCCGUUUAAAAAGAGAACAUGCCAGACACAAAGUGGUUGUUUACCAGGCUAUGACCACCAUUAAAAAGGGUGCUUCUCCCAACAUAUGGCUGGCCUCUUUGAAAGAUUAGGAGUUCGCCCUAGAUCAUUUUUGUCACUGUCAUGUGGAGUCAUUGUAUCCAGAGACAGGCAACUUUCCUCGAGCUCAGACCAACCUAAGACAUGGGGCCCGGUGGCGAUAGGGUAACUCUACGACGGGUAAGGCCAAGUUUGGAUGAGAACAACCUAAGACAGGAGCAAUGACAAGAUUGACGUGACACCCAGAUCUAGACCACUCAUUUUAUUAAACAAAAAAGGGGGAGAUGUAGGGCGCCCUCCAGUGGUGAACAACGGUACUGCGCAUGCACAGGUUUUGCACCUGGUGUCAGUUGGCCGUUAAUAUGCUAAUGAGGGGCGGUGCCAUGCUAGUGAGGUGAUUCAUUCUCUGCCAAUCCCUGGAGGACAAGUAGUGGGGUGAUAGUGGGGUGAUCCGUGCCCCACCAAUCCCUGAGAGAUUAUUAGCAUACUGUUGUGUAUAUAAGGCGAGCAACUUUGCCACUCGUGGUCCCCUGUCCCUGUUCAAGAGAGCUGUACAGUAAAGGCUUGUUCGCAGAAGAAUCCUGUUGCUGCGCAUCAUUCUUACUGGUGAGACGUUGGGCACGCGGCACCAUUUAUUUUCUGUCUUUGUGUCUACAGUAAAUUACCCAUUCCCAGGUUUUGACCUUUAGUUACCAUAUUAUGGCCUUAUUCCUGACCUAGAAGGAAUGUUUCCUUGAUUGUAAAUUUGUUCAAAGCUUUCUUUCUUUUCCUCGUGCAUUUGGCCUGUGACAGAUGAUGGUUUACAGAGUUCUAUUUGCAGCUUUGAUUCUAAAGGAGACUUGAGAUUGCUUGUAUCAGUUUAUGAGUUCUAAAAAAUCAUUAUCAGGAAUUUGAAAUCAGCGCUUCAUCUACAUAGCAUUGCUACAUGAAAGUACAUCUUCAUAUUGAUUCUUCAGGAAAUCUGCUCAAUAGGGUGGGCUGAUGUUCACCAAUCAUUAGGCUAUGUAAUAGUGGCAAGAAAGGACUAUCGGCAACAAGAAGCAGCACUAGGAUAAAGUUCCUGAGGACCCUGCAUCUCAGAACACACCCAUCACAGUCUUGGAAAACAUUGGGCCAUCUUGAGAAAACUCACUUGCUAUAUGACUUCUGACCCUUCUUAGUUUGUAUAUGCAUGGAGGUUGGGUUAAAUCUCUUACACAAAGUAUAAACAAAAGUAUAUCUGUAGAAAAAUAAGUGGAUUUCCAAUGGAAAUUAUGUAUAAACAUGGAAACAACCUCAGAACGCUAAGUGGAUUCUUUAAGAACGAAGAGUAUUGGAACACUGGGAGAUCAAAGGUGCCCACUGAUCACUAGGGAAAACAAAGUAUGGUAAGUACACAAGAUUUCCCUCUCAAAGGAAAGUGUAAAAGUUUAAUUUUAUUAACCAGAUGUCAUCUCAGAGGCUUUCUGCUGAAUAGCUUCACUGUUUCUAGUUCUUUCUGAACUCUGGCUGUCUGGUUCAACUCAGCAGUUCUGACACCAAACUCUUCUCCAAGUUCUGCUUCAAACUGGCUUCUCUCAGUUUCUGACUGAAUUGCUCUGCUUGGCCUCAAACUAACUCUGGCAAUCUGUUCUAAUCUUCUGGCUCCUUCUCAUCCUCUGGCCUCUGGCUCAUUCUGUCUCCACCAGCAACAUUUCUCUGUAAAACUGUCCUAGGGAAAUUGCCUCCCCCCUCCUUCUUUCCCCCUCCUUCCCCCUCCCCCCUAUCUGUUUUGCACUGCCCUCUUAAGUGGCCUCUCUUCCUGUCUGUUCUUAUUAUAGUUGGAUGUAUCCUAUCUCUGACUCAUUCUGUCAAAUCUUUCUCUGAUUUGUUACUUUGUCUGCCCCUCAAUUAGACAUGUCUUUCAAACAUGACUGCCUUCUUUAAUUUUUAUUUUUAUAUAUUCCUUCUUUUUUAUUUGUUCUUUUUUUAUACACUCCAGAUUUUAUUCCCCUCCUGGUCCACCCUCCAACUGUUCCACAUCCCAUACCUCCUCCCCACUCCCCUGUCUCCACAAGGAUGUUGCCACCCCCAUCCUACUAGACCUCCCCACUCCCUGGGGCAUUAGGUGCAUCUUCUCUGACUGAACCCAGACCCAACAGUCCUCUGCUGUAUAUGUGUUGGUGGCCUCAUCGCAGCUGGUGUAUGCUGCCUGGUUGGUGAUCAAUUCUGAGAGAUCUCAGGGGUCCAGGUUAAUUGAGACUGCUGGUCCUCCUACAGGGUCACCCUCCUCCUCAGCUUCUUCCAGCUUUUCCCUAAUUCAACCACAGGGGUCAGUAGCUUCUGUUCAUUGGUUGGGUGCACAUAUCUGCAUCUGACUCUUUCAUCUACUUAUUGUAUCUUUCAGAGGGCAGUCAUGAUAGGUCCCUUUUUGUGAGCUCUUCAAAGCCUCAGUAAUAGUGUCAGGCCUUGGGGCCUCCUCUUGAGCUGGAUCUCACUUUGGGCCUGUCACUGCACCUUCUUUACCUCAGACUCCUUUCCAUUUCCAUCCCCGCAGUUCUUUCAGACAGGAACAAUUAUGGGUCAGAGUUCUGACUGCAGGAUGGAACCCCAUCUCUCACUUGAUGCCCUGUCUUUCUGCUGGUUUGGGUUCUACAAGUUCCUUCUCCCCACUGUAGGGCAUUUCAUCUAAGGUCCCUCCCUUUGAGUCCUGAGAGUCUCUCACCUCCAGGUCUCUGGUACGUUAAGGAGGGUUCCCCCAAUCUCCUACCUCCCAAGGUCACCUGUUUCCAUUCUUUCCACUGGCCCUCAGGGCUUCAGUCCUUUUCCCCACCCAAUACCAGAUCAUGUUUCCCUCUUCCCAGACCACACCACCCCAUCCCCUUUCCAUCCCAGGUCCCUCCCUCCCUCUUCUCUUGUGAUUGCUUUCUUCUCCCUACCAAGUGGGACUGAAGCAUCCUCACUUGGGCCCUUCAUCUUGUUGACCUUUUUGAGUUCUGUGGACUGUAUCUUGGGUAUUCUGUGCUCUUUUUUGGCCAAUAUCCACUUAUUAGUGAGUACAUACCAUGCAUAUACUUUUGGAUCUGAGUUACCUCACCCAGGAUAUUUUCUAGUUCCACCCUUUUGCCUAAAAAACUCAGGAUGUCCUCAUUCUUUUUUUUUCUUCUUUUUUCCUUUUUUCAGAGCUGGGGACCGAACCCAGGGCCUUGCGCUUGCUAGGCAAGUGCUCUACCACUGAGCUAAAUCCCCAAUCCCAGGAUGUCCUCAUUCUUAAUAGCUGAAUAGUAUUCUGUUGUGUAAAUGAACCACAUUUUCUGUAUCCAUUCUUUUGUCGUGGGACAUCUGGGUUGUUUCCAGCUUCUGGCUAUCACAAAUAAGGCCGCUAUGAACAUAGUAGAACAUGUGCCCCUGUGGCAUGGUAAGGUAUCUUUUGGGUAUAUUCCCAAGAGUGGUAUUUCUGGGUCUUCAGCACUGCUUCCAAUUUUCUGAGGACUCUCCAGACUGAUUUCCAAAGUGGUUGUACCAGUUUGCAAUCCUACUAGCAAUGGAGGAGUGUUCCUCUUUCUCCACAUCCUCACCAACAUGUGUUGUCAUUUGAGGUUUUGAUCUUAGCCACUCUGAUUGGUGUAUGGUGAAAUCUUAGGGUUGUUUUGAUUUGCAUUUCUCUGAUCACUAAGGACUUUGAACAUUCUUUAGGUGUUUCUCAGCCAUUUGAGAUUCCUCUGUUGUAAAUUCUUGGUUUAUUCUAUACUUACUUUUUUGGUUGGUUUGCUUGGUAUUUUGGUGGUUAACUUCUUGAAUUCUUUAUAUAUUUUGAUUAUUACCCCUCUAUCAGAUGUGGGGUUACUGAAGAUUUUUUCCCAAUCUGUAGGUGCUGAUUUGUCUUAUUGACUAUGUCCUUUGCCUUACAGAAGGGAGAAUUGAAAAAAACAAUGGAACUAGAAUCCAUUUCAGAGAUGUUCAUCUACUAUAGUGAAAAGAAAAUAGUACAGCAGAGUAACAAGCGUCAUGGCCAGGAAGCACAGGAAGAAGAGCUGCUUUGGUUGGUUUUCUUUUUCUUCGUUUUUAUUCCAUCUGUGAUCCUAACCUAAAGAAUGGCACUCCCUACUUUCAGAGCUUAUCUUCCCCCUCAAUACUAGGGAGAGUAAGGAGAACUUUAAAGGCUACAAGAAUACCACUGCAGAUUGCAGCCAUUGCCUAUAGGUUGAUGCAGAGAACCCAAAGAAGGUGAAGACAGAAGACAUAUAGGAGAUUUUGCAUGGAACAUAUAGGGUGAAUAAUACAGUAUAAGCGCCAGUUUUAAACCUCUUAUUGGUGAUGGCUUGUGGAGACAGUGGUGGAAGAGUCAGGCUGAAGUCAGAUAUGUGACUAGUGAUUCUUUAAUAAUAAAACAGAGGCACUGUCUCAGAUAUACAGGCCCUGUAGGAGGCAUUAAUGGCUCUAAGCGUGAUGAGAGAAGCUGGAAGAUCAUGAAGACUUGAAUAUAGGGAGAGGUGAAAAGUCAAGCUUGGCUUUCAACUCAUGGAAAUGAAGAACAUUGGCUUUAGAAAGCAGGAUGAUGGCUUCAGUUUUAAAGACAAGUUUAGUUAGAAACCAUGAGAAAAAUCUAGGCAGUAGGGAAACUGGGUGUGAAAUACUGGCAGGGCACUAAGAAGAAUAACUAAAUAUAGAUAUAAUCCUGGUUGUCAUGGGAAAUGGAUGCCACAGGGUGAACAAAAUACCUUUUAUAGAACUUAAAGUAAUGCAAGCAUCUAAAGAACAAGAAAAUUUGCUAAGUGGGUCAGAAGUACAUAGCAGCCCAUGGAAGAGGACCCUGAAGGAAGAGGAAGUAAAGCGUCAACAAUUGUAAAUGCUGUGAAGAUUGGCACAUGGCAUGGGUAGACAACAAAACAUGCACAGCCUUGUGAUGGUAUAUGAAUGGGAGACCACUCAAUUCAUGCCUGCUUUUUCCUCGGCGAUCUGUUGCAAAAGAAUGGAAAACAAAACAAAAAAAUACUUUUCUUCUUUACUCCAGAAAGACACUUCUCUUUUUUAUCCCCGUGUCUGGUCUCUUCAGAAACUAUGAGACGCCUUGUGGUCUAGAAAGUCUGGUUUACUUGGGGUGGAGGCAUUUAUUAAUAAUCAUCCCAGAGGGUAUGACUGAAUCCUUUGAGAGGAAAAGAUGAGGGUCAGAUAGGGCAGAUAGGAGUGGCUCAAAUUACAUCCUUGAAAACUCUGGAACCUGUGAAAGUAAUGGUGUGCAACUCCUGAGGAGUCUCAGGGGCUGUCCCUGGGGAUAUCUAGCAGGAAAGAAGCAGAGCUUUCUAGCACUCAACAAGAUUUAGAACCCAGGACAUCCAUCUAGGCUGUCACACAGACUGAGACUCUUUUCCUGUACAAUUAGGAUAAGACAUAAUUUAAUUUUAUUAGAAGUACUAUUGUAAAAUGAGGAUGGUAUCUAAUUUAUUAAUUUUAAAAUAUUGAAACAUUUUUAUUAGAGGCUAUCCAAACCCCAUCAAUCUUGGGUGUCCAAAUAGUCAUCUAAGAAGAGGAAAUAGGAGAGUUAGAAAAAUGGGGGCUGGGUAGAUCUCUAAUCUUUUUGUUCACAUUCUGUGGACAGAAUAAAAAGCCAACCUAAUGGUCUGGUGGAGCAAUAAAUACUGUGUCCUCAUUGGACACAUGACUUCCUCUUUCAGGGUGAGGUGUCCCUGUGUGGUUUCUAUAGUCUUACAAAAUUGUGGUUUUAUGAAUUUUCGUUUUCAUUUCUUAUUAUUCAGAGUAAAUACAAUUUGUAAGAAAUCCAGAUUCCCUUUUCUAAUUAUAAAGGAUGCUGUGAGAGCUGUUCAGGUACUCUCUUCAGGGCCAAUACACCUACCACUUUCUUGGUUACUAGGUAUGGAGCUACUGAGACCUGGAACUACCUGUUCGGGCUAUGUCGCUUCAUAGUGAGUGGAUGAAUAUGGGAGCUGGUGGAAAGACUUGGUCCAAUUUCCAAUAUUCAGAACACUCCUCAGUGUAACUGGACUUUUACGGACUGGACAGCUAUAUAAAUAAGGACAUAGAGAUUCUUGUAUAUUUUUAAAGUUUAGGGUUUAACUUGGGCUACCUCCCAGAUCCUCUAACCAGACUAAUUCUGCUCAUGUCCCACCAUGACCUGUUCUACCUCUCUACUCAUGUUCACAUUCAUCCACCUCCAAGUCGUCUCCCUGAAUCCCUGCUUCUGGUUUUUCCCCAUUGCCCCUUUCUCUCUACCAGAAGUCCUACCUUCCACUUCAUGCCAAGCUAUUGGCCCUCAGAUUUUUAUUAAAGCCAAUCAGAGAAUCUCUUAGGUAGGUGAGGAAGGACAGAGACACACCUUUACACAGUGUACUCCAACACCUCAAGACCAUCUUAUUUCUACUGUUCCUUAUAGUAUUAGUUGAACACUGGUUGUUACUGCAUUAUGGCUCCUUCUAUGCUGCCUGAUUCCUCAUCCUGUCCCAUAUAGGGAAGUCUCUGAUCAACAAGCUUUCACACACACAUGGUUCACACCUUCUUGGAGCUCUGGAUUCCCAAGAAUCCAAAUAAUCUGGAUCUUAGUUUUAGUUUUUCUCUUUCACUGAAAAUAACAGAUGUCAACAGGUGAUAAAAUGUUUCCACUUGGAUUCUGUGGCUUUUCCCCCCAUACCUCAUCUCUAUAUUACCAAAAAGUAGUUCUCCAAAAUUCACAACAUGUGAAUAUUUACUCAUGUAAACUCAAACAACUAAUACAGCAGAAAACAGAUUGUUUCCUAAAAGUAGUUUUGGUACUUUUCCCACUAAGGAUUAUACAACUAUUAGAAUAGAUGCUAUUUGACAGUUUCAUCAUUAUAUAUUCUUUUUGUAAACAUUUUAAAUUUUCUAUAUUGUAGUUAAAAUUAGAUGGCUAGAUAGUCUAUGAAAUCAUAUUUUUGGAGACAGUUAUAAGUAAUAUACCCAAUUAUGAUACUUCCAAACAGUCUAUUUUUGAAUGACAGUUUAGAACCUUGAUACAUGUACUCAGUUAGCACUCACCAUCUUGGCAUUUCUACAUUCUGUCACUGAGCUGAACUUAAUGUUUAUGUGUCAGGCAAUACCCAUGAGAAAGAAGCCCUCUUCCUAGGUUGGUAUAAGUUGUGUUGAGGGGGGAAUUUUGUGAACUAUUAAGUGGUCAAUAAGGGUUAUACAUGUUAAGUCUAUAAGCCUGAAACUGCCUUAAAUAUAUGAGUGAUAUUCACAA